GAUGAACGCUGGCGGCGUGCCUAAUACAUGCAAGUCGAGCGAAUGGAUUAAGAGCUUGCUCUUAUGAAGUUAGCGGCGGACGGGUGAGUAACACGUGGGUAACCUGCCCAUAAGACUGGGAUAACUCCGGGAAACCGGGGCUAAUACCGGAUAACAUUUUGAACCGCAUGGUUCGAAAUUGAAAGGCGGCUUCGGCUGUCACUUAUGGAUGGACCCGCGUCGCAUUAGCUAGUUGGUGAGGUAACGGCUCACCAAGGCAACGAUGCGUAGCCGACCUGAGAGGGGGAUCGGCCACACUGGGACUGGGACACGGCCCAGACUCCGACGGGAGGCAGCAGUAGGGAAUCUUCCGCAAUGGACGAAAGUCUGACGGAGCAACGCCGCGUGAGUGAUGAAGGCUUUCGGGUCGUAAAACUCUGUUGUUAGGGAAGAACAAGUGCUAGUUGAAUAAGCUGGCACCUUGACGGUACCUAACCAGAAAGCCACGGCUAACUACGUGCCAGCCGCCGCGGUAA
rnacentral:rRNA from 1 species